CAAUGGAGCUCAAUUCCAUUUUGAGCCGACUCCACUCAGCAAUCGGAUAUAACCAGCGAUUUUGAGUCUCAUUAAUUCAAAUCGAGCCGAAAACCCCAAAAUCGUCGAGGAAUUCCUUCUUUCCUUGGCAAUACACUGCAGCACCGCUCCAGCUUCACGCGCCGCCGCCGAUCGCCGCACCUGAUCAGCACACAGUGGAGCUCCGCCACUCCAAUGCCGCCUCUCGUGGGAGGUGCAUGCCACGAUUCGGUUGAUGUUGACAAGCGCAGGCUUGACGAAAUGAUCGCCGAGACGUCAUGGAUGUUCUGCUGCUUCUUAUGUAUAACGAAGUAGAGAGUGGCCCCAUGCUUGUGAUUUGCUUUCUAGCUUAUCCUUAUGUGACCACUCAUGAUCCAAGAGAUGCUGAGCGCACUCCUGCAGCAGUGCUCCAAGAUCAGAACAGCCAAAUAUGGCGCUUCAUUCCAUGCUUUCCUCACCAAGGCUUAGGAGAGAACUUGCAACUGGAAAAAGGCUGGGAGCUGUUCAGUGUGUUGAACCAACAAGGUUUGCAUCCGGAUCAGUUCUCUUAUGUCGCUGUUUUUGGGAUUUGCACUAUGAAAGAGGAUUUAUUUUCUGGACAAGGACUUCAUUGUCAAACAAUUAAGGUUGGACUUAACAGGACAGCUUUUGUUGGCAAUGUGAUUUUGACAAUGUAUUCCAAAUGUGGUACAAUUGAUGAUGUUGAAAAUACUUUCAUUUCUAUAAAACAGAAAGAUGUCAUUACUUGCAACACAUAUAUUGCUGCAUAUUCUUAUUUUGGAGAGCAUGACAAGAGCUUAAUGAUAUACAGAAAGAUGGAGGAGGCCUAUGGAUUGAAUCCUGAUAAUUUUACGUUAGCAGGUGCUCUUGCUGCUUGUUCUGACCUGUCUUAUGUUAGAUACGGUACUCAGAUGCAUGGCCGUCUCAUCAGAGCUAUUGUUGAACUUGAUGUUGGAGUUUUUAAUGCAAUCAUGAACAUGUAUGCCAAAUGUGGCUGGAUUAAAUAUGCGAAUCGUAUUUUUCAUUGCAUGCCAAAUAGGAAUUUGGUCUCGUGGAACACAAUUAUUACAGCACUUGGCUACCAUGGCCUUGGAAGGAUUGCCAUCCAAGUUUUUGAGGAGAUGAAUACCAGUGGAGUGAAGCCAGAUUCUGCCACAUUCACUGGACUUCUUGCAGCCUGUAAUCAUGCGGGUUUGGUGGAUGAGGGGAAAACUUAUUUUGAUUCCAUGGAAGAAAUUUAUGGGAACCCUCCUAAAAUUGAGCAUCUAUCUUGUGUUAUUGACCUGCUGGGCCGAGCUUCAAGAUUAGAAGAAGCUGAAGCCCAUGCAAGAAUGUUUCCAUUUGGAAACGACUCUGUUAUUUGGGGAAGCUUACUCUCUUCUUGCCGGCUUCACGGGAAUCUUGUUGUUGGGGAGAGGGUGGCAAGGAAGCUAUUGGAGCUCCAACCCACCACAAGCUCUCCUUUUGUUUUGUUAUCAACUUUGUAUGCUUCAUAUGCGAGAUGGGAUAGUGUCUCCAUGACAUGGAAGUUGUUGAAAGGUAGUGGGGUGAAGAAGGAGCCUGGUUAUAGUUUGGUUGUUGUAAAUGAUUUGCCUGAGAAGUUCACAGUUGGAAACUCUUCACAUGCCAGAAUUGAAGAGAUCUUAGAAACAUUAAGAAAUUUAAAUCUGGAGGCAAAAAGGGUUUCUUCGCAGAUUAUCUGCUAUAGUAGAAAUUGAAGGCCGUGGAGUUUCUGUCUGCUUUUAUUUGUGAAAGGAAAAGAGAAAUGUCAUUUGGAUUUUGUUCUGGUUCUUUUUAUGGAGCUUGUUUCCUAUUUGCUGCAGCAUAUGCUCGCCUGACUGACAACCGAUGAUCCUAGAGAAGUGUCUCACUCCUGCAGUAAUGCUCUAAGAUGAGAUUGGUGAAAUCUGGUGCUUUUACUAUAACAGAUAACUAUAUGCCUAGUUUGGCUGCAUUCAAUAUGCAAAUCAUAUUUUUUUUGUUGCCUGUUGAAGCGGAAUUUGGCCUCAUGCAGCAUUGUUGUUAUUGCACUAGCUUGACAUGGCCUUGGAAUGUUUUCUAUCCAAGUCUUUGGGCCGGUGAUUAGCAAUGGAGUUGAGCUAGAUUUUGUCGCUUCAUUGUCUGCUUACAACUUGCUGUCAUGGGCAUUUGUUGGAUGAGGGAGAUUCAAGAUUUGAAGAGGCUGAAGCUAUGCAAGCAUGAUUCCAUUUGGAAAUCGUUCUGUUCUUUGGGGAAGCUUACUCUCUUCUUGUUGGCUUCAUGGAAAUUCUGCUGUUGGAGAGAGGGUGGCAAGGAUUCUAUUGGAGCUCCAACUCACCACAAGCUCUCCUUUUACUUUUGCAUCAUCGUUGUGUGCUUCAGAUGUGAGAUUGGACAAAUGUUGCAUGGCACGGAAAAUGUUGAGCGGUAGUCGGGUGAGGUAGGAACCCGAGGAUAGCUUGAUUGCUAUUAAUGAUGUGGGUGAGAGGUUCACAGUGGGAAAUAGUUCACCUUCAAGAUUUGAGGAGAUCUUAGAAACAUUGAAGAAUUUUCUUGGAUCCAGCUGCCACGCAAAUUCUCAUCCAUGGUCCAGCUAGACAAGGCCUCUGCUCAUUCUCAGCUUCAACCACUAUCAUUGCACUUCGCCCCUGUUAGCUCCUCAGUCUGGCACCAACGACUAGGCAUUCCACACUCCAAACUUACAGCCCCUUUCUCCAAAAUUUGUUAGAACAUUCCAUCUGAUGAAUCAUUCCGCAAUGCAUGCCAAUCCUACAAAUGCCUUGAACAACCUUUUGUAACUAAUACACUCAUAUAUGAGAUCUCACUGUUGGGCUGUGGUGACUAAGCACAAGGCCGCA